rnacentral:misc_RNA from 1 species
AGUUAAAUUCAGUAAUCACCUAAUUAUAGCUGACGUAGGAAACUAAGUCUAAAUUGGACUUCUUGUUCGUCUUCUAGUGGCCUAUAAAAGACAAAGGCCAUAAGGUCAUAGCGAAGUAGGCUCAUAAAGUGUGGAAUGCAAUCCAUUGAGAGGACUUGUGAGAGUGGAGAGUUGCGAUUUAGUCCAUUGAAGUGUGAGCAUUUUUUGAGUGUUGUGUGAGGUAAUUUGUGAGUGAUUUGUGGGUGAGAAAAAUAAUUUGUUAUAAUUAUUUUUUUCUUUUAUUAGUGGAUUUAUUAGUAGAGUAAGCUUAAAUCGAACAAUGUU